rnacentral:sRNA from 1 species
CUGUGGCCAUGAGAUGGGGCCUGAGCGCCACCGCCUGGCCGAGGAGGAGCUCAUCAAAGCCCAGAAGGUGUUUGAGGAGAUGAAUGUGGAUCUGCAGGAGGAGUUGCCGUCCCUGUGGAACAGCCGCGUAGGUUUCUAUGUCAACACGUUCCAGAGCAUCGCGGGCCUGGAGGAAAACUUCCACAAGGAGAUGAGCAAGCUCAACCAGAACCUCAAUGACGUGCUGGUCAGCCUGGAGAAGCAACACGGGAGCAACACCUUCACGGUCAAGGCCCAGCCCAGUGACAACGCGCCUGCAAAAGGGAACAAGAGCCCUUCGCCUCCAGAUGGCUCCCCUGCCGCCACCCCCGAGAUCAGAGUCAACCACGAGCCAGAGCCGGCCGGCGGGGCCACGCCCGGGGCCACCCUCCCCAAGUCCCCAUCUCAGCUCCGGAAAGGCCCACCAGUCCCUCCGCCUCCCAAACACACCCCGUCCAAGGAAGUCAAGCAGGAGCAGAUCCUCAGCCUGUUUGAGGACACGUUUGUCCCUGAGAUCAGCGUGACCACCCCCUCCCAGCCAGCAGAGGCCUCGGAGGUGGCGGGUGGGACCCAACCUGCGGCUGGAGCCCAGGAGCCAGGGGAGACGGCGGCAAGUGAAGCAGCCUCCAGCUCUCUUCCUGCUGUCGUGGUGGAGACCUUCCCGGCAACUGUGAAUGGCACCGUGGAGGGCGGCAGUGGGGCCGGGCGCUUGGACCUGCCCCCAGGUUUCAUGUUCAAGGUACAGGCCCAGCACGACUACACGGCCACCGACACAGACGAGCUGCAGCUCAAGGCUGGUGACGUGGUGCUGGUGAUCCCCUUCCAGAACCCUGAAGAGCAGGUGAGGGCUGGGU